rnacentral:rRNA from 1 species
UACAGAGGAGCCAAGCGUUGUCCGGAUUGACUGGGCGUAAAGCGCACGCAGGCGGUCGCGCGCGUGGGGGGUGAAAUCUGGCCGCUUAACGGCCAGGCGCCAUCCCAUACGGCGCGACUGGAGUGAUGCAGAGGUCGGUGGAAUUGCCGGUGUAGCAGUGAAAUGCGUAGAUAUCAGGAGGAACACCGAUGGCGAAGGCAGGUCUCUGGGCUGACACUGACGCUCAUGCACGAAAGCGUGGGGAGCAAACAGG